GUCCCCGUUGUUCUGAAGGUAGUACGCCAUGCGGUGCACGUCCCGCAUGGUCAGAGGGAUCCCGGACAGAUCCAUGGAGCCCUGGCUCACCUUCUUCUGCAGGCUGUUCUUCAGGCUGGGGGUGGAAAAGGAGAGAGAGGAAUGACAUGCACAGAGCAGGGGAGGGCUCGUUAAGAACGUUCUGCAAACAGAAAGUGGAGCUUGGUUCGUUAACAGGCAUGACAUUUGCACCAUGCCUCUGGGCAGGUUGUGUCCUGGGGCUUUCCUGUGUCUUCUCUGCACUUAAACUCCUCAAGAACUGGCAAACCAUAUGACUCUGAAUUCUUUCACUAAUUCUUCAAACUAGAGGGUUUGUCUGGAUGUGUACAUACAGAUGUUCACAUAUGGACAGCAAAAAUACCCAUGGCAAGCAAAGCUUUCAUAUGCACUGGUUUGCAAUGUGUCUGAGCUGUUUUUUCACCACCUCUCCAGGUGAAUGCUGUGGUCUGUUGCAAACAAAUUAUGCUGCAGUAGAGCAGUGUUAAAAGGCUGUGAAAUGGAUAUUUUAUCAGAAAAAAACAAUCUGUGAGCAAACAGCACUCCAGGAGUGGAUUUACCACGUCCCUUUAAGAGCCUUCCCCAGCAUCCCCCACCUGUAGUUGCUGGUUUGGAUCUCGGUGGUCAGCAAAUCAUUGGGGAUCUGCUGCAGCUGUGAGGAGGUAGGCAGGGCAGCAGGGUGCUGAGAGCAAUCUAGAGAGAUCUGCUUUCAUCUGUGGCCCUUGUUGUUUGCCAGGGGAACAGAGCGAGGAGGAGGUAGGCUGCAGGUGUCCUGCACGGCUGCAGCACAGCCAGUCCCUGGGAGCGAUGGGCACACAGGGAUGUGCAGUUUCCUUGGAGAAGGCUAGAGCACCACAGGAGCUGCCAUGGCAGGUCUUGAAGGAGCUUGUUCAGCAUCCUGGAAAUUGAGUGCUUUUGCCCUGUCUUCACGCUCAGGGAAGCAGAAACUGGAGGAAGUGGUAAGAGCCAAAUAAGAUUUCAGUAAUGAAGGAUGCCUAAUAGUCCCUGCCUGUAUCGCUGGGGAGUUACCAGCUUUCUCCCUCUAUGUCUCUUAUUUUUCUUUAAUUUGCCUCCAAAACUUUGAAUAUAAAGUUUUCCUGGUGCUCCCACCACUGUGCAUCCCCCUCCUUCAUUAACAGGCACUGCCAGAGGUGGCUUAUUAACCACGAGUUGAGUAUUUCUUUGCUGUUCCUCCUUGCACAGAGCCUAAUGGCAGGCAUGUCUGGAUGGCUCCUCUGCCAGCGACUUAAGGGAUGAGCUCUGGGCUUUUUAAUUGCCUACUUAGCAUAAUCUGCUUGCUUUUGCUUCCUUGUGGCACAGGGUGCUGCUUUGAAAGUCUGGCUUCAGCUGCUUCUGGUGAGAUGAGAGAAGCCUCAAGAGCACUAAGCUAAACAAACCCAGUCCCAGCUGUUCUUGUACUUGCAUCUGAUUCUUACCACGUGGCUUUAGUAAACUGACUGGUAUUCUCUAACUUGGCUUCCUAACUCAAAAGCAGAAUGAUGGUGAACAUUUCCUCUGCUGUAUAAAGGAGAAAUGGGAGCUCUACUUAAUAUUCAUCUCAUGCCAUGUGAAGGCUAAGAUCUAAUCUGCCAGAGCUGUCAUCUAUGGCCCUGACUGAUGUUUUCAAGAAGAAAUAAAAAGACCUGAAGCCCUUUAGAGAUGCUUCCCUGCAGUCUUCUAGACACAAAUGCUUUCACUGCAUUUUUAAAGUGCAUCUAAUGCUGCAGUGUCUGGGCAGUGCACAUCAAUAAAUGAGAAAUGGAGCAAUGAGCCCAGAAGGAACACUCAGUUCCCCACCCAGCUUUAGAUUAGCUAAGAUAUUACAAAAUGCAAUUCACUCUGGCAAAUGAACUAAACCCAUAGUGUGACCUGUGAAAAAGGAAACCUGGAUGUAUGCAACUGAGAGUUACUAACUCCAUAUGCACAGAUGCCUUUAUUCUUCCAGAACAGGUUACUGGGUGGGAAACUGAGGCUAUUUUUUCUGCACCAGGAACAUCCUGCUUGUAAAGAUUGCUCAGUUUUCUGCCUGCAUGUUUUAUGGGUUCAGGUUCCAUCCAUUGCACUGAAGAGAGGCAUUGAGCAGCCAGCUCUGAGUGCAAUGCUAGUAGAAGAUGUGCAAGGUUCCCCAACCCAGCUAUGCCAAGACAGUUCAGUCAUCAUCUAUAGCUCCUUAAUGGUGGUACUAGGCUACAGUGCACCCCUUCAGGCAAAGGCUGCGUUAAGCUGAUACCCUUUACACUCUGAACUGCAGUCUGCUCUGGCUUUGCCCUUGAAAAGUAAUAUAUACUUCAGGUCCAGCUCUCUUCUGGAGGAGAACAUACAGUCCUGCAGUGCUGAGCCACAGGAGCUUUGAGAUCUGACAAAAACAGCUGUGUCUCAAAAAACUGCAUCUGUCAAAAUGUUGCAGAAAGGGUUCUUGGUAGUCUAAGUAACCCCAUGUCCACACUGAGAAGCCUUAACCUGUUUCUCUUUAUGUAAACGUCAGUUUAUGGAAGAGAAGCUGGAGUUGUACGGCACCCUGGAAUGUGAUUAGUCAUCCUUAAUGAGCUAAACUAUAUAACCGUGCUUUAACUGAAGUCCCUUCCUAAAGGGAAGAGGCUGACAACUGUGUAGUAAGGUCAUGCUGGUCCCUGCUGAGGGAAAGUUAUCCUCCUGCUUGUAGGCUUCUUACUCGAAAACCCUCAGUAAAUUCCUCAAGAGCUCAGCCUUGGUGUUUGCUCAGGCAGCCUGCCCAAGCAGCACCAUCAGGUGAGACACAGGAUGUCAGCUGGGAGCUACAGACUCAAAAUAAAUAUGUCAGGAAAGGAGAACGGAGCCCUUUGUUUUCAGUGUAGCAAACCUGAUUAUCACCUGAGCAGCUGAAAUAGUCUCUUUGGGUGCGUGAACAGCUGAGACACUGCUAACCUGUCAAGAACCAACUAGCUUGGAUGCAGGAGGGGAUCUGUCUUCCAGCAUCAUCUAUGACAAUCAGGGAAACCAGAGACAGUCUGGACUGGAUCUUUCUUCCCUACUUCAGCUGCUGUUGCGUUCAAUCUGCUGCUGUAAGAUUUCUUCUUCCGUGUUUCUCUGUGGACUCUGUUUCUGCCUGGGGUGUUCAGCUGGUAAAAGCUGCUCUGAUGGCAACCUGUGGCACCUGUUGUGUCCCUAUGAGAUUCACUGCACCUUUGCUGUGGUCACAGCCUCAGGUUAAAGGCAUCAGUGUUAAAGGUGGUAACAGAAGCAGGUAGGACCUAUGGCUUUAGUGGGGGAGCGGGUCUGUGGUUAAGGAUAUCCAGAGAGAUGUUCUUGUCUGAAAGCUCUCAUAGGAUGUUUUGCUAACAGUCUCUGAGGGAUCUGGUUGGGCUCAAUGUGUGACUAAAAUAAGACUGCUUCUGCAUGAUGGAAGUGUGACUGGUCCUUAGCAGAGUUUGCAGUUCCAGUUAUCCUGGGAUCACUGUGUAUUGAAACAGGAGUGCUUGAAGACAUUAAUCUCAUUCUUUCUACUUCAUCAAUUCAUGGGUAGCUCAGGUUUGUACUUACUCGAGAGGGUUGGGUUCCACUGACAGGGAUUAGGAUGUGACUUAGAGUCAGUUCCUGCCCUACAGGUUUGUUGCUUGGUCACAGGGGAACACCUGAUGUGUGGUCGUGCUCGAGUACGGUGGGUCCUUUCCAUCUCCCAGACCACAUCUCUGUAGCAGCCCGAGUGUAAUUAAAACCUGCCAGAAGUUCCCUGUUGUCUGUGUGGCUGAACUUGCUAAUUAUCCCCUGGACCCAUUUGGCACGUUGCCAGAAAGUGGAAAAAGAGAUGAAUUGGGUUCUGUAUCAAACCCAAGAAAGCCCAAGCCCAGAGGAUCACAAAGACAAGGGAAUAUGUUUUCCACACAUUGAUUCCUCUGAACAAUCCCAGAUUUCCACCGGAGAUCAGAAAUACCUUCAGAAGUCUUGCUGCUAUACAUGUACUUCUUACAGGACCUCGAAGGUAGAAAGGUACAAGGCAGGGGCAGGAGUUCAGACAGAGGUCAGAGUGAAAUGCUCUAUAGCAGAUGGCAGGAAGAAGAGAACACAGAUCAGUUAAAAACAGCCUGGCUGGACAGAAUACAACCCUGAUAUCUCGAAGUGAAACAGUAAUUCCUUGCUUUUCUGUUGCCAGCAACAGCCAAAGAUGCCAACUCUGCAGGUGCCUUUUGCCACAAACAUAAACCAGUUCCUCUCCUGUUUUUUAGCAAGAAAGUGCUGCUGUUACAUAUUUAAUUCAAAUUAUUCUGCCUUAUGCAAUGCUCUGCAGCUGUGUCUUGGCUGUGUGUCUGCAGGGCUGCCAACUUAGAGUGCUUGUGGGGCUGCAUACCUUUCAAGUACUGCUCUCCUUCCUUAGCACUGUGGCAGCAGGACUGAUUUCGAUG